rnacentral:rRNA from 1 species
GACGAACGCUGGCGGCGUGCUUAACACAUGCAAGUCGAACGGUAAGGCCCGGCUCUUGCGGGGUGCUCGAGUGGCGAAAGGGUGAGUAACACGUGAGUGACCUGCGCUUUACUUUGGGAUAACACCAGGAAAAUGGGGCUCAUACCGGAUAUGAGCAUCUGCUGCACGGUGGGGUUUGGAAAGUUUCGGCGGUUGGGGAAGGAGUGGCGGAUCAUCAGUUUGUUGGUGGGGAAGUGGCUUACUAAGGCUUUGACGGGUAGCCACCCUGAGAGGGUGACCGGCCCCAGUGGGACUGAGGAAGGACCCAGACUGCAACGGCAGGCAGCAGUGGGGAAUAGUGCGCGAAGGGCGGCGUGAUGAAAGAGCGAUGUCGGGUGGGGGAUGACGGCCGUCGGGCAGGAACCCGCGUGCGCCUGUGACGAAGCGUGAGUGACGGUAAUGGGUAAGAAAGCACCGGCUAACUACGUG